UACGUAGGGGGCAAGCGUUGUCCGGAAUCAUUGGGCGUAAAGAGCGUGUAGGCGGCCCGGUAAGUCCGCUGUGAAAGUCGGGGGCUCAACCCUCGAAUGCCGGUGGAUACUGUCGGGCUAGAGUGCGGAAGAGGCGAGUGGAAUUCCUGGUGUAGCGGUGAAAUGCGCAGAUAUCAGGAGGAACACCAAUUGCGAAGGCAGCUCGCUGGGACGUAACUGACGCUGAGACGCGAAAGCGUGGGGAUCAAACAGG
rnacentral:rRNA from 1 species